GGGCACGCUGAGGGCUGCCGGGAGCUGGAGUUCCUGAAGGGCUGGCCUGGUUCUGUCUCUUUGGGAUGCUGAGCAAGGUGGGAGAUGCGAUAUUGCAUCCAAAAGUAUAUUAGUAGAGCAUGUUACUGCAUACAAGGACAUCCUGGCUUCGGUCAAGCAGGAAUAUGAGGCAUUUGAGGUUGGGCUACCAUGCAGCAGGACCUGGACAGGCUGGAGAGUUGUGCACCGAGGAAGCUGAUGAGGUUUAACAAGUGCAAGUGUAGAUUCCUGCACCUGGGGAGGAAUAACUGCAUGCAUCAGUACAGGUGAGAGGCUGACCUUGCUGGAGAGGAGCACCGCAUAGCACGCCCUGGGUGUCCUGGAAGGAUGAGAGGCACCAGGCCCAUGUUGCUGCAUGGGCAGCUCCCAGCUAGACAAAAUGAGAACAUUUCAGUUCUUUCAAAAUAUGUGAAAGUCUUCUCAGUUUAAAUGAUAUGCCUUUGUACAAACGUAUUAGUUUAUAAAGUUGUUCUUUUUUACUUUAUAAAGUCGUUCUUUAUAUUAUUUUAUUUUAUAUUCUAUUCUAAUGCUUUAGCACUUUUAACUCUUGUUGAGUUAGCAAUGUGGUUAUCCCACGCAGCCAUAUCUUAUAUGCGAAUAUUCAUACAUUUUCUGUGAAUUCCAAGAAUUCCUAUAUAUAUUAAAAUCUAAUACUGUGCAUGCACUGCGUUAAUACGGGGCUCUUGCAAGGGGUGGUCGCUGGGUUCUACUGGGAGAUGAGCUAAGUAGGUCAGGUCCCUUAUUUGGUCACAAAAAUUAUUUACAGAAAUUGGCUGCUGGCUAAUUAUCACGUCAACCCUGUUGUGGUGCCUAUAGUAUCAACCCAAGCAGGGUGCAGUGUACCUCCCCACAGCUUGUGGAAUGUUGGGACUCUGCUUUUAGGCUCCAGAUGUCCUGCUUAUCACAGGA